CAAAUAUAUCCCCAACAAUAAUCAAAACAAUAUUAUACUAAACAAACUCAAAGUAUUCAACGCAAAAUAAUCAUGCCGCGACAAUAUUGUUCCUCUGUCAAAUUGUCUUCCCUCAGUACCUGUAGUGAGCAGGCUUGUAAGGACCCUCAACUGGUACGCUAAUGUAGUCGGCUUGAUCCUUGGUAAGUUUGGUGAGCUUGGCUCCAAGCUUUCCAAGAUGAAGGGCAGCAACCUUCUCGUCGAGGUGUUUUGGCAAGACGUACACCUUCUUCUCGUAUUUGCCACUGCUCCUCUCAUUCCACAACUCGAGUUGCGCAAUGACUUGGUUAGUGAAAGAGCAAGACAUCACAAAACUGGGGUGUCCUGUGGCACAUCCCAAGUUCAUGAGACGACCCUCGGCCAAGACAAUGAUGCCACUGUUGGUGUCUGGGAAGACCCAUCUGUCG